GUCUACAGCCAUACCACCCUGAACACGCCUGAUCUCUUCUGACCUUGGAAGCUAAGCAGGGUCGGGCCUGGUUUGUACUUGGAUAGGAGACUGCCUGGGAGUACCAGGUGCUAUAGACU
rnacentral:rRNA from 1 species